UGGAAAAUUGCUCUUUUAGUAUUUGUCUAGCAGGCUUCCUUUAAAAGGAAGCCCAC
rnacentral:snRNA from 8 species